rnacentral:rRNA from 1 species
GGGUUGUGAGGUUAAGCGACUAAGCGUACACGGUGGAUGCCCUGGCAGUCAGAGGCGAUGAAGGACGUGCUAAUCUGCGAAAAGCGUCGGUAAGGUGAUAUGAACCGUUACAGCCGGCGAUGUCCGAAUGGGGAAACCCAGUGCAAUUCGUUGCACUAUCGUUAACUGAAUACAUAGGUUAACGAGGCGAACCGGGGGAACUGAAACAUCUAAGUACCCCGAGGAAAAGAAAUCAACCGAGAUUCCCCCAGUAGCGGCGAGCGAACGGGGAGCAGCCCAGAGUCUGAAUCAGCUUGUGUGUUAGUGGAACGGUCUGGAAAGUCCGACGGUACAGGGUGAUAGUCCCGUACACCAAAAUGCACAGGUUGUGAACUCGAAGAGUAGGGCGGGACACGUGGUAUCCUGUCUGAAUAUGGGGGGACCAUCCUCCAAGGCUAAAUACUCCUGACUGACCGAUAGUGAACCAGUACCGUGAGGGAAAGGCGA